CUUUCUGAUCAGAGACACGCAGCCCAAGUUUCAGUUGGAGAAACUGAGGAGGCCUGCUUAGCCUUCCAGACUGCAGUUCUUCAUGCAUACCUUCAUGUACAGCCGCUGUUCACGCAUGCGUCCACGGGCUACUGGCGCCAGCCAUGCUGACAACCGUGGAUUCAAGGAACACGGGAGACCUUGGUCUGGGUACAGCCUGGGGGGGGGGCGCUUUCAGAAUAUGGCCACUACAUUGUUCAACCAAUCUCCAUUGCAAGGAGUUCUCUGUGCGCGCCUUCCUUGCCUCUGGGCAAGCCUGUGAUAGCUUCCUCAUUGACAGGUGCAGAUGAUGGUAAAUGGAUACGUACAGGAGCCCUGUCCAGUAAGCACAUGCAUAGCUUCAGAUGGCACCGGCUGGUGAGAAGGUCACAGGACCGGGGACCGGGCAAUGGGAAAGAGGGUUCUGUGCACUAAAAUGUUUGUUUUAGCUCUGAGGAAGUGGCUGGGCUGUCCGCAGCAGAUCACAGGAUUUGGGCCCAUUAUGGUAGAAGCUAGGAGUGGGUGAAGGAGGAGCAAGGAUGAAGAGAAAGAAAGCCAGUGAUGUGGAGGGAAGAGAGGGGGACUGUAUUCCUAGAAGAGUUUGGAGUCCAAUGGAGACCCUGGAGAAUAAAGCAGGUAACUCAUUUGUGUGUGUGUGUAUCUCUGGGUGUCCCAUGGAGACACUGAUGGGGGCUGGGAAGGGAAUUGGACACUGG
rnacentral:lncRNA from 1 species